CCUACGGGUGGCAGCAGUGGGGAAUAUUGGACAAUGGGGGGAACCCUGAUCCAGCCAUGCCGCGUGUGUGAAGAAGGCCCUCGGGUUGUAAAGCACUUUCAGUGAGGAAGAACGCCUGGUGGUUAAUACCCAUCAGGAAAGACAUCACUCACAGAAGAAGCACCGGCUAACUCCGUGCCAGCAGCCGCGGUAAUACGGAGGGUGCGAGCGUCAAUCGGAAUUACUGGGCGUAAAGCGCGCGUAGGUGGCUUGAUAAGCCGGUUGUGAAAGCCCCGGGCUCAACCUGGGAACGGCAUCCGGAACUGUCAAGCUAGAGUGCAGGAGAGGAAGGUAGAAUUCCCGGUGUAGCGGUGAAAUGCGUAGAGAUCGGGAGGAAUACCAGUGGCGAAGGCGGCCUUCUGGACUGACACUGACACUGAGGUGCGAAAGCGUGGGUAGCAAACAGGAUUAGAUACCCCAGUAGUC
rnacentral:rRNA from 1 species